rnacentral:rRNA from 2 species
GGGAGGAAAAGAAACUAACAAGGAUUCCCCUAGUAACGGCGAGUGAAGCGGGAAGAGCUCAAGCUUAAAAUCUCUGCGCAAGUUUUGCGCGGCGAAUUGUAGUCUAUAGACGCGGCAUCAGUGCGGCCGUUCGGGGUAAGUUCCUUGGAAGAGGACAGCAAUGAGGGUGAUACUCCCGUUUGUACCCGAGUGUGUUGCACGUACGAUGCGUGUUCUUUGAGUCGCGUUGUUUGGGAAUGCAGCGCAAAGUAGGUGGUAAAUUCCAUCUAAAGCUAAAUAUUGGUGCGAGACCGAUAGCGAACAAGUACCGUGAGGGAAAGAUGAAAAGAACUUUGAAAAGAGAGUUAAAGAGUACCUGAAACUGCUGAAAGGGAACCGGGUCGUUGCCAGUGUCUAUAAUCCGCUGCAUAUUUCAUUGCCGUGCGAGUCCGUGUCGCGCGUUGGUAGUAGUUUGUUCUGCACCGCGUGUGUCUGUGGGUUUGCUUGGCGGUGCCCUGUGUGGUGGUGGGACGUCAGAGUCAGUUCGUGUUGCUGCGGGAAAUGGCUGUCGAGGAGGUAGGUCAGGAGCUUGCUUUUGGCUGUUAUAUCUUGGCGUGCUAGUUGUCGUGGUUGGGACUGAGGUGCCUACAACGUGCUUUUGGAGUGUGUGUGCGUCUCUGUGUGCGUCCGGAUUGGAUAGCUUGCUAUGCAGUUUGUCACGUGUGCGGAUGGAUGUGCGUGCUUACUUGUGGCCGUUCGGGACUUUGACGAA